rnacentral:lncRNA from 1 species
AAAAGACGGAGCGUAACCCUGAGGAUUUGUUGCGGAGUUAUAAUUGUAAGUCCAUGGACUCAGAGUAGAAUUGGGGAUCGACAACGGAAUAAUUAAAGAUAAUUUCUUUGUUUGUUUCCUAUUCUCCUCAUCCCUUGUAACGGCUGACUGUAGCUGAUCUAAUGAAACGUCAUGGUCAUUAUUCUUUCUCUUCCCCAAAACAUUCUUCAAAUUGUCAGGGUUACCAUGUUGAUUUUCGGUUUCUUUUUUAACAUGGCCAUUUUACACUUGAUUUUCAGCAUUAAAAAUGUAGAUUCAUAGACUAACCAAGAUAAAAAGGGAUUCUAAAUUCAAUAUUAAUAACAUUUUCUUUAUAUAUAUAACUAGGAUGAAGUAUUAAGCAAUAGAAUAAGCUUUUUAAUAUCCGAAAAAUCCCUUGGAUCCUUUUUAUGAUCCGAAAAAGUACAAGACCCGUCCUAUCUCUACUUAGGCGUGUGACCAAAGACUUGAGACUCGAUUCGGACUUGCGGUAGAAGGACUUUUCCCCACCUCUAUAGGUUGCUAGCAACCAGAGACGGUCCUAGAAGGCUUUCGAAUAAUCACUCUUGCCUUGGCAAUCAUUUUCUACGCCGUCCUUUCCUUAAAACAAUGGCCAUGGAGGAAAAAAUAAUGGAAUUCAUCGAUGAGUUCAAUGUCGUACAGAACAAGGAGAAUAUUAUAGAAACUUUAUAUGACAUUUUUGGAUGUUGAUACUCAUAUUUUCCAGACCCUGAAAUAGAGGAAUUGAAAUAUAGCAAUGACUUCCUCAUGAGGAACGAUAAAAUUAUAGCGUCUCCCUUUAUUACUAAUUCAAUGUAUAAGGGUAGAAGCUAUGGAACUCGUUCUCAAACCAUUAUAUUGAUCGAUUAUUACGAUGAAGUGGGGUACUAUGAAUCAACAAGGGAUUUUAAUCCUCAAACAGAGGAAGAACAUUAUACUAAACUUUGACCAAAAAACCAUCCUUUUUAAGAAAAAAUUGUAUAGGGACGUUGCCACACUUUUUUGAGAAGUGAUUAAAAUCCUCUGUAUAAUAGGCAUUUAAAAAAAAAAGAAACCGAAAAUCAAUAUGGUAACCCUGAUAAUUUGAGGAAUGUUUUGGAGGAGAUCAGCUACAAUCAGCUAUGACAAGGGAGGAGGAGGGGAAGGAAAUGAACAAGGACAGUGGCAAAAACUACUCCGACGUCGAUCGCCAAUUCUACUCUGAGUCUAACAAGGACUUAUUAUUAUAACUAUAACUAUU